AGUUGGUGUUAGCUGAAACUUGCUGCUCUCUUACAUUUAUAUGAACAAAACCUGUCAACUCAGACACAGCACAUUCCUGAAUUGGGCCCACUGAGAGUACUCUGGCAGAGUGACCAAUCUGUGUAACCUGAAAUGUGUUUGAUGACAAACUUGUGAGGGGGCCCCCUCACGAUACCUUCCUCAGGGGAAGAGUUUGGAAUGCACCACAUUGCAGGUACCUGAUGUGGAAGAUGGGUAUUUCAUGUUCUCCCUCCACAAAGGCUGUCAGCAAUGGGGACACUGACUUGUGGCUGGUGCCACCCCCGAAAGUCUGUUCUAGGGAGCAUAUCCACCCAACGACUCUGUAGAAUGAGGAGCCACUGUGUUCAAGGAAGGAGGACAAAAAAUCAGCUCUUGAGGACAGCAAACGAAGAAGGAUGGCCCACGGAAUCUGAGGGAAAGGAAUGAAUGAGAGAGACAGGUUCCCCUUGGACAUGGGGCAUCUUCCCCUAUGCUGUCCUAAUGGAUGAUUUCCUGCUGCUUCCUCUUGGAGUUUUGACUUCUUCAUCCCCUUGCUGUCACAUUUUACUGCCUCCAAGUGAUUGUGCAGUGAUUGCUCUGUGUUUGUUCUCUGUGAAUGAACUCUCCAGGUUUUAGUUGUGUACCCCCAACAAACCAAAUCCUGCAGUAUUCACCAAGCUAAACUUAGCAGGUCCCUUCUCUUCUUCUCCACAGUUCUACAUUCCAUCCUUCAGUCCAUCCAAAUUUUGUCCAACCCCACCUGUCCCAUCUCUUCAACUCCCCUAACCUAAUCUUUGAAUUAGAUCUAUCUCCCAUAUAUCUCUGGCUUUGUUCCAGUGGCUACUGUUACCUCCUUAUAUUUUUUCUCAGACCCAUCCAUCAACAGCCCCCUACCAAAUACACCUUGGCCGGUAUUCUGUCAUAUUCAUUGUGGUAUCUCAGGACAUGUGACAGUAAUAUCUGAGGGAGCUGCUGCCUUCAAAUAACAUCACAUUCAAUCAUAUUAAUUUGUGGCAGCAUCUCACAGUCCACGGUUGCAUACUCAGAAAUUACAUUUACUAGCUGACUGAAUGCAUGCAGGAAGGGGAAAUUAUAGCCUUCUGCUCCAAAGAUCUUAGGCCUCUUCCAGCUGAGCUACAAGAGAAUCUCCACUAGAUAUGGGCUGUAUGAAGACUUCAGUUAGGAACAAAAUUUCCACAAGAUCUAAGACCAUGCAAAACAUUGUCUGAUUUCAGAUGUUAUUAAAAAAGUUAAUCUCAAAUUAGAUUAAUAGAAAGGGUUGCAAACUGUGCACAUCACAUUACCAGAAAGAUAAUGACAAAUUAGAGGGGAGUACAGAGAACAUCAGUCAUAAACAACAGCAGGCUGGAGAGAAUGGUUUGAAGAAAAAUUAAAAGAGCUUGCUAUAUACUGCCUAA